rnacentral:rRNA from 1 species
UACAGAGGGUGCAAGCGUUGCUCGGAUUUACUGGGCGUAAAGCGUGCGCAGACGGCGAGGCAGGUCGGGUGUGAAAGCCCCGGGCUCAACCCAGGAAUUGCAUUCGAAACCAUCUUGCUCGAGUGUGGAAGAGGGAAGCGGAAUUCCCGGUGUAGAGGUGAAAUUCGUAGAUAUCGGGAGGAACACCAGCGGCGAAGGCGGCUUCCUGGUCCAUUACUGACGUUCAGGCACGAAAGCGUGGGUAGCAAACAGG